UAUUCCAAUCUUGCGUUGGGUGCCCUCAUUGACAAUACAUUUUUAUUCAAUAAACUUUUCGUCACAAGUUCUUGGGUUUGCAAAAAGGAUUAUCCUGGAGGUAUCCCUUAGUUAUCUAUCUUGAAGCCUUACCUUUUAGAUGAUCUUGGUGUAUCCUUGAUUCUUUUUUUUUUUUUUUUUUUUUUGACAAACAAUAGCGUUAGUGGGUUAGAUGGUUAAAUGUUAAGGAAAUUUGUGAGAAUCGAACCCGCAUUAAGUGCAUAGGCAAAAUUCAUUUUUGUCACUGUGGUAAAGGUUCACCUCAAUGUUAUUGAACCCUAAAUUUAUUGUAAUUCCCUAUUUAAUCUUUGUUUCGCAUUUACAUUUUGUAUAAAUAGAAAGUAUAUAUGUGAUUAAUUGGGAGAAUAAAUACAGAGAUUGUAAUUCCUCCCGUUUCCGUUCUGAAAUCAAUUAUGGAGUAAACUUUUGGGUUUUUGAUAUAGCCCCUCGUUUUUAAGCUUCUUAUACUAAACAUUUGUUUUAACAAUUUGAUUAAAUAUUUUUUUACAAAUUUGGUGUUGUGUAUUUUAAUUAACCCAUUUUAAUGUACCUAUAUUACAUGACCUGCUAGCAUUUAACAAAACAGAUUUUGGUUAGGUGUGUGGUUUUGAUCAUCUUUUGAAGUCGAAGGUUUUUAUUUUUUGUGCGUUGGCUCUGAUUGGUACGUUUUGAUAAGUGGAUGACUAAUACUAUGUAUUUGCAAGUGAUGAGCAUUUUGUACAAUGAGUUGAUAAGUUAUAUAAGUACUUGAGGUCUGCAAAUUUGGAACAUACCAGGAGUUUAGUACAUUAAUUAAUGUUAUGUUGACACAUAAUGAUCGUUUGGUUCAUGAAAUAAUAUUAAUUUAGGUUUUUUUAUUAACAUCCCACAAAAUGUUGAAUGCACCCCAUAUUAAAAUUUAAUGUUAAAUGACUUAUGUACCCUAUUAUGCAAUGACAAUUUCGACCUUAUUAGGUUUUAAAAAAAAAUUCUUAACACACCCCAUAUCACUUUUAACCUAUUAUUUAUCUUUUUCAACUAUCAAAACCUCUCACUCUCCAUUGUUAAACAAAAUCUUAACCAAGCUAUCUGCGUUAUUUUAUUCUUUGAUUUUGAUUUCAAAGGAGAUUAGUCCCACAUAUCUACUUGUGAUUUCCCAUGAAACUAUACUACCCAAGCCUAUUAUUGAUUGAUUUAAGCUUAAUAUUUAUUUACAAUUCCCAGAAGGCUUCUCUCUUAGGAAGUUCCCACUAUUUUCAAUGGUGAAUUACUACAACAUAACUCAUUCCAUUCAAUGGUUAAUUAUUGACACACCCCGACCGAGGUCAAGGCAUGAUGGCCGUCACGUGAGAGUGAUGUAACCAUGUGCACUCUAGUAAUGUGGUUUUUAUUUAUUUGUUUAUUUGCUAUCUGUAUCUUGUAACAUCUCACAUCGCCUAGGGGAGUGAUCCUUAAAUGUAUAUUCUCAUCCCUACCUAGCACGAGGCCUUUUGGGAGCUCACUAGCUUCGGGUUCCGUAGGAACUCCGAAGUUAAGCGAGAAAGAGGUUAGAGCACUCCCAGGAUGGGUGACCCACUGGGAAUUUGCUCGUGAGUUCCCAAAAACAAAACCGUGAGAAAAUGGUAAGCCCAAAGCGGACAAUAUCGUACUACGGUGGUGGAGCGGGCCCGAGAUAUGGUGGACCCGGGACGGGAUGUGACAAUUACUGCAAUAUAACUCAUUUCGUUCAAUUGAUGCCUCUCAAGUGACUCUUUCUUCUCUCCACAUCAAUCACACAGGAUGUUAGAGUUUUACUCCAAAGUCAAUUUAAUUUAUAAAAAUUAAAAAUGAGUAUUAUAAGAUUUGAAGAAUGUGGGGUGUGUAGAAAAUGUAAGGUGUAUGUUAGGAAUGUGGGGUGUGAGUAUUUUGGAAAAGUAUGUGAGGUGUUAAUAUAAUAAGCCUUUAUUUAAAACGUGCCAAAAGUUUGGUACGUAAAUUUUUUAUUUUUGAAAAGUACCCGACUGACGAAAUGUUAUAGUGUGCGUUUGAAACGUGCCAAUUAUUUGGUAUGUCUUUUUAUGUUAUUUCGAGUAAUGGUAUUUGGUAUUAAACUACCAACUAACUGGUACGUUAAUUUAGAAACGGCUAAUGAAACGUUUGGUAUUAAACCAUCAAAUGAUCGUAUGGUUCAUGAAAUAAUAUUAAUUUAUAAUGUAUAAAAUGUUUGGUAUGUAAUGGUUAUAUUAUUCGUACGUACCUGACUGAUGAAAUCUAUAUAUAUAUAAAGGGAGAAGGUAAAAGAGGUGCAGCCUUCAUAAUACCCAAAUUACCCUUCUCCCUUUAGGAUUUAAAAAAAAAUUCAGAACAAAAAAAAACUCACAAAGUGGGAAUGUGAGUAGUUACGUUCAUAAUUUUUUAAAAUAUAUUUUAAUAAAAAAUAAUAAUAUCUAAAAUUAAAAAAAAUAAAGUAAAACAAUUAAAAGAGCCAAUUGUCACAUGUGUAUGCGUGUGGUAAGAAGCUAUGUGAGUUGAACCUGUUUUAUUCAGUAGGUCUUUUAUUAUUAUAUUAAUUUAGAAAGUAGAAAUCAUUUGGUACAUAAUAUGCACAUCGCUCCAAGUACAAACAUGUUGCACUUUCAACUACAGUUGGAUUAGCUAAUAUAAUGAAAGAAAAAAAAUAACCGCAAGUCCUAAGAUGUAUGCAAAAGUUCAAAACGUAACCAAUAAGGUUUGAUUUAUAGGAAAACUAAUAAAAAGGGUUUGAAAACUUUGAGUUUUAAUGAUAAGGACAAAAUAAAGGGUAAAGUGAAUAGUAUCAUGAUUGACUUUUUAAUGUAAAAAUGUGGUUUUUCAUUAAAGUGAACAGUACCAGGUGCUUUUCGUUAAAGUUCCCUUGAUUUAUUCUUCUAUUUUCAAAAGCAAAAAUGCGUGAUCAAAAUAUAAUUUUAAUAUUCUAAACUAAACUUAACCAUAGUCGGCACAUAAACCCGCACUUCAUCGUUUGGAAUCUUCCAUUAGAUUUAUCCUCUUGACUCUUGGGUCGUCUUUUUAUCAAUGGAGACUUGAUGACAAAAUGCUUGAUUAUAUCUCAAGUGGUGGUUGUUGGACGUCAAGAAAAAGAAUACCAGUACUACAAGAAAAGAAAUCAAGACUUCUACUAAGCUUGAUGUAGUGUUCAAUGUAAUCAUACGGAUGGUUGCCAUUUCCAUCUGCCACCGCGUGAAUGACUAAAACAAUUGAACUUAUUUUGACGAAGACAAUUGAACCAAAUGCAGAAAUGACAUAGAAUUCAACCUACGUGCUAGACCAAAGACAGUUGAAUUCGAAUGCAUGGAUGAAUAAAACAACGGGGUCAAUAGUCUAAAGUGGAAGAUAUUUUCACAUACCACUAAGUUUUAGUUUUGAUUUUGUUUUUAUUAUUGUCUAAGAAAAGUUUGUCAUGUGUUUAAAAAAUGCACAAUUUUACCAUAAAUAAUUGCCACGUAGUAAAAUAGUGACAUUAAAAAAUACAUCAUAAAAUACUAUAUCUUAAAACUUUAUUUUAAAAUGUGACUGUCACAUAAUUGUUUAGUAUUAUCAAAUAAAUACACAUGUUAUUAUAAAUUUGUACAUUUUUUUGUCGAAAUAAUAAAUGUAUACAUUGAAACAACAUGGAUCAACAAGUAAACUACCUGAUUUCAAGAACCAGUAGCGUUAAAAAGUGACAUAUAAUAAACUUAAUGACUGGUAACAAUACAACAUAACAAGGAUGUGCCAUCAAACACCUAUUUUUACCUUCCACACACAUUUCUCAAUUUUCGGCCGGUGAGUCGAAUGAAUAGAAGAAUAUCAAAUGGGAAAAAUUUAAUUAACAAAAAGUGCAUGUGAAGUAAAAAUGAGUGUGAAUAACACCACUCUAAACAAAACAUAAAAAUUGCUGAAUUGUAUAACUACACCAUAUAUAUCUAAGACUAACGGGUGGUGCAUAAUAUAUAUUCUGCAAAUGGAGUCCUUUUUGGUGGUGUCUCGCACUUCCGCUUCAAGUAGGUUUCUGAAACAUUCAUAUCCUCUCUCUCGCACCAUAUUCGCACCCUCUUCUUAUCACCCAACUUCCACCGCCACCACCACUGCCACCAGCAAUCCAAACCCUUACCGCUAUCCCAACGUAAGACGGUUAGGCUCGUUCAGUCAAAGGCACCGUGGGGAUACUUGCAGUCGCGUUGGCUUUGAUCACAGACUCGGAUCGCACAUGUCGAGCUCGUCUUCACCUUCUGCUGCCGCAAAGAGAGGUGCAAAUCAAACCAUCAGCAAUGACAACGACAAGGUUGAGGGUACUUGGAUCGAUUUGUACCUGCCAAUGCGAGCUCAGCCUUAUGCUAAGCUCGCUCGCCUCGACAAGCCGAUCGGCACCUGGUUGUAUGCGUGGCCUUUUUGGUGGUAAGUGAAAAGAAUGAGAGGAAAGUUUGAGUAUUAACUGUUAUGUAUUAACUGUUAUAAUUAGGCUUUUUUUUUUUUUUUUUUGGUCAAUAUAAUUAGGCUUAUUUAGAAUUAAGCCCUUGAAACUCUUAUUUUUCAAACAAAAAUUUCACAUAAUUUUAAACAUUCCAAUAAGACCUAAAUUUCUGAUAGAUUGCCAUGCAGACAAAUAUGUAAUGGAACGGUUGUAAAUUCAAGCCUAAGUUUAAUUAAUUCGACAUACACUAGUUUAUUUUUUAAGUUUUUUCUUUAAUUGGUGUGGAACUGGAAGUUAACUAUGCUUAUUGGUGGGUGUAUGCAUGCAGGUCAACAGCAAUGGCAGCAAAUCAAGGGCAGCUUCCUGAUAUUAAGAUUUUGACACUACUUGGAUUUGGAGCUCUGUUUAUUAGGGGCGCCGGAUGCACCAUAAACGAUCUCGUUGACCGAGAUAUUGAUAUCAAGGUAAAAUUAAGUUCAUUAAGGUCAUUUUGUAUGCGAAAUUGAUUUCUGUACACAUUUUUUUCUGCAAACUUUUAUUUAUGUAUGAAAUUCUAAGGAAAACAAUGGUGUACUCAAUUUCUUUUUUGCAUAUUGGUUAGAUAAUGAAUUUAAUCCUUUGGCUACACUUCACAAAUAUUUAUUACGGCGAACUGAUGUCAUCACUUUAUCUUGUUUUUAUUAAUUAUUUAUGCCCAAGCUACGUUAGGAGUAAUUAUUGUCACUUGACGUUAUUUGAUCUAUUAUAUAACUUAAAUUAAAAAAUUAUUAACAUCCCUAAUACUACACAACAUGGUAUAGUAGAAUGGUGUACUGGUGAGACAAACACUAAAAAAUUAUUGUUAAAUCACUUGGGUGACUUGUUUGAAAAUUGAAGUUGAGACUCCGGGGUUUGAAACCUUUGGUUUCACUAGACGUUUACGAUUUCGCUUAUAUCUGGUUUGAAAGCAGCGUAAUAAAUUUCUCUAAUGAUCAGGGGAAAGACGAAGAAAUUUAAUUUUUGAUGAUUAAUACUUUGUUUAUUUGAUAAAAGUUCUGCAAUUGAUUGAUCAGGUGGAACGUACAAAGUCGCGGCCUCUUGCAAGUGGUGUUUUGACACCUUUUCAGGGGAUUUCUUUUCUUGGAUUUCAAUUGCUUUUGGGUCUUGGAAUUUACCUUCAAUUGAAUAAUUAUAGGUAAUUAGCAUCCUUAUCUAAAUUCAUUAGGAUGAUAUUGGAGAGACCAGUUGCUUGAAUUAUAUUUUGUAAAUCACAUGAUGUGGCAGUUGAUAAUUGAUUUCUUCUUUAAAUCAUUAAAACAAUAACUUAACCAUCACCCGCUGCAUCAUGUGAUUUAUAAAAUAUGUUUAAAAACGAUCUCCCUGUUAUUUUUCCUUUAGUUAAUCUGAAUACUUAUUAUGCCAAUAUUAUUAUAAUAUGCUAUGAAUAUGAAACUAGUUUGUGUAACUCAUUAAUUGGAAUUUACAGCUGCGUUUUGUGCGUUUCAUCUUGGUUCCUAAUUUUCACCUAUCCUCUCAUGAAGAGAUUGACAUACUGGGUAAUUGAUUACAAUUUCGUGACUACAUUUAACGACUAAUUACGUCAUUAAGAAGUAUAAUAUGGUAUUAUAUAUCACAUCAUAAUGCAUCUAUAUUUGGUGCAGCCUCAAGCCUAUCUAGGUUUGAUGAUAAAUUGGGGGGCUUUAAUAGGAUGGGCAGCGGUAAAAAGAAGCAUUGAUCCAGCUAUAGUGCUUCCAUUGUACUUUUCUGGAGUAUGCUGGACACUGGUCUAUGAUACCAUAUAUGCACAUCAGGUAAAACAACGAGUAAUGCUAUGCACACCAAACUUUUUUUUACCAAGUUAUGUUCACCAAUUAAAUGCCUUAGAUAUUGUAAGUCAUAUGGUGGGACAGGAGACUGGACCUUACUUAUUUUCAACAAGUAAAACUUUAACAUGACAUAUAAUUUAGUCAUGAAUAAAUUUGGCAAAAAAAUAGUUUGGUGUCUCAAACAUUAUUGAAAACGAACACGUCGCUAUUGUGCUCCUUGUCAAAAGUUGUAAUUUCCAAGAUUUGAGCAUCAUUUAAUUAUGGAAUAAUUAAGUAGUAAAUAAGAUAACUUUUUCGAUGCAAUCCAACAAAAUUAAGAUGUUUUCUGACCAUGCUUGCUUGCAGGACAAGGAAGAUGAUCUGAAAGUAGGUGUUAAGUCUACGGCAUUGAAAUUCGGCGACUCAACCAAAAAAUGGAUUACUGGGUUUGGAAUUAUGUGCAUGAGCAGUCUUGCCCUCAGUGGAUACAGUGCUGAAAUCGGUUAUUGUCUUUUUUCCCCUCUUUAUUUUAAUUUCAUUUUUUUUUUCAUAAUUAAUUUUCUCUUUUACCACAUCUUCACACUCAAACCUUUCAACUAUAUAUGGAGCAGGGUGGCCGUACUAUACAUUUUUGGGGGUUGCAUUUGGACAAUUAGCUUGGCAAAUAUCAACAGUUGAUCUUUCAUCCCCAGCUGAUUGCAGUAGAAAGUACGUGUUGUCUUGGAAAAAAAAACAAUAUUCAGGGCUCAUUUGAAAACCAAUUGGUAUUUAAUUUUGUUUUUAAACAGUUAUCAAACGGGCUCUUAAGCUUACAAGUAUUUAUUAGUUUUGUUUUGCUUUGAACAAGAUAAGAUUAUUGACUAAGCAUUUUUUCUUUUUGUAUUGGUUCCAGAUUUGUGUCGAACAAGUGGUUUGGCGCUAUUUUGUUCAUCGCAAUCCUAUUUGGACGACUUUCAUCUUAAGGUGGUAUAAGGUCUAUUAAUUUUGAGCAUAGUAAGGUUGGUUAUGUGUUCCAUUAAUUCUAAUUUGGGGCUUUUUUGACAGAUAUAGUUCAUCUUUCUCUUGCACUGCAACAGAACUCGUGUAUUGGCAUGGAGGUUGCAAGGUCAUCUAAAUGCAGCACUCAAAUGAGUGCAAGGAUCAAACGUUGUAAUAUUUACUGUUGUGUUUCAAAAAUAGACCAUUUUCUUGGGGCUUUUGGGAACUAAAUGUUGUAAUAUUCAUUUCAAUUUGAAGUCAAACAGCAAAUAUGAUGAAAUUGUUCCAUAUUUAUGCCAAACAAAUGUUUUGGUGCUAUUAUUUUCAGUGGAAUCCAGUUUCAGAAUAUACAUACAGUUACUUGCAAGUUGCAACCUUGAUGCAAACUCGUCUAUAUUAUUAUCGAUAUUUCUCCAAUUAAUAAAUACAAAAUGUCCUUCAACAAAUCCAAAUCCCUCAGAAUGCAUAAGCGUGAUUGCUCUCCUUGAAAAUGGUCCAUGGUGAGAUCGCCUUGUAUUCUGCAAAGAAGGAUGAUUCGUGGUCUCGUUCUGGGCACUUGUCAUCAUCUCUUCUUGCUCGUGCACAAGCUGGAUACAGCACUUCGUUACUCCAAAAAAAUAUCUCAUGUAUAUGAAAUGAAGUAUUGUCACUCCUUCUCCACCUUUCUGUUGACUCCUUAUAUUCCAAUGGCUUAAGAAUAUCAUGUCUGUUGCAAUUUGAUGUUUGAUAUUAUUUUUUUGCUAAUGUCUGGUUUUGGAAAUAAAGUUGAUGAAGAACAAAAAGGAAUGAAGGAGAAAACUUGUAUAUGUCUGUGAAAGGAAGAUUGCGGCUGAAAUCAUAGCAGAGCUUUUUUUUUUUUGGUCAAGGAAUCAUGACACGUGGCUAAAUCUAAGCCAUGUGAGUUAUACAAAGAUGAAAUUGAAUCUAAACCUUACACUUGUCCAAUUUACUAAAGAAACCAUUGCAACUUAAAUCAAAUGAACCAGUAAAAUAAUUUACACUUCAACACUCCCUUUAAAUUGUUGACUGCUUUUAUUCCAAGCAAUACUCUCAAGUAGUUGAAUCAUAGUUGAAUCGAUCCUGACAAUGCCUUAGUGAAUAUGUCUGCAACCUGUUUUACUGGGAAAGCGCUCAUAGGAGCCACGAAUAUACUACAUAAGGGGUUCUUCUAAUCUACAAUACUUCAAAUUCAUAACACAUUCUUGCAAGGCUUCUCAGAUGAAAUGGUAUCUCAUAUUGAUGUUCUUAGUUUUCUGGUGAAAACAUGAUUCUUUGUCAUAGAAAUGGCUGAGGUAUUAUCAACCAUAAGUGGAGUUACUUGUAGCUCCUUGAAAUCAUCAAGCACAAAUCUCAAUCAAAUGGCUUGAGUUGUUGCUUCGGCUGCAUUGACAUACUCAGCUUCUGUAGUUGAAAGUCAAAUACAAUGUCACUGCUACUCUAAUAUACUUCUUACUAGGACAAUGCGUAAAUCUAUCUAGUAAGCAAGCUGCAAACAUGUCUGGCGUUGUGGCUGCUAAAUAUAGCAGACUCCCAACAUUCUGUCUAUACACGUUUUCCUCUGCAGGAUCACUGUUAUCAUUCUUGCACAAUUUCUCACUUGUAACAAGAGGUGUGCUAACUUGCUUGCAGUUCUUGUAUUCAAAUUUAUUCAGCAAAGUCAAUGCAUAUUUCUUUUGACAGGUAAAUAUGCUAUGUAUCAUACCCAUGCCAAGGAAAUGAUACAAGAGCCCCAAGUCAAUCAUUUUAUACCAUGUCAUCAUCUCUGACUUGAAUUCAGCAAGCAACUCUUCACUACUUCUAGUACACACACUAUCAUCAACAUUAAUUGAGACAACUAAAAUUCCAGAAUUCCCCUUGGUCUUGAUGGAUAAUGUUGCCUCACUUGAACUUCUGGUGUAUCCACAGUCAAUGAGAUAUGAGUCGAUUUCUUCAUACCAGGCCCUUGGUACCUGUUUUAUACCAUACAAGGCUUUCUUCAAUUUGUACACUUUGUCUUCAGCAUUUUAACCACAAAACUAUCUGGUUGAUCCACAUAUACCUCCUCCUUUAGUACACCAUUAAGAAAUACAUAUUUGACAUCUGGUUGGAACAAUUUCCAACCCUUUUGUGCUGCUAAAGCAAUGAGAGUCCUGAUGGUAUCUAAUCUGGCCACACGAGUAUCUAUCUCGUUAAAAUCUAUCUCAAGCUUUUUUACAUAGCCCUUGACCACAAGCCUUGCCUUGUGUUUUUUUAUUAAGCCAUCUAAUUUCAGUUUGGUCUUAUUGACCCAUUUGACACCAAUCACUGGUUUUUCUUACUAGUCUAUUAAUUAGUUCUAAUAUUUCAUUCUUCUCAAUCAUCUCCAUUUCAGCUUCUAUGGCCUUUUGCUAAGCCUUGUCCUUUGCAGCUUCUUCAUAGUUUUUUGGCUCAAUUAUGCACAUGUUACACCUUGCAUAUAUCUUACUAAGAUCCUUCAUCUUCACAGGUGUUGAGCUAGGGGUAGUUGCUUCUGUCUCAAAACUAUGUGAACUUGAACCAAUCUCAGAUGAACUUGAGCCAAUUUCAGCUUAAGAAUCAUGAGUGCUAAAGGCUGGAACAUAGGGAAUAAACUGAAAGGUGGAGAGGAAGUGACAGUACUUCAUAUACAUGAGAUAUUCUUUGGAGCACGAAGUACGGUAUCCAACUUGUGCACGAGGAAAAAGAGGAGAUGACAAGCGCCCAAAACGAGUGACAGUACUUCAUAUACAUGAGAUAUUUCAUUGGAGUCCAGCUUGUGCACAAGCAAGAAGGGAAGAUGACAAACGCCCAGAACGAGACCACGGAUCAUCCUUCUUUUCCAUGUGUCAUUUUUGAAAGUUUUGCGGAAUACAAGGUGAUGCCAAGAACAUACUUAUCCCCAUGGACCAUGUUCAAGGCGAGCAAUUACGCUUAUGAUUUGUUGAGGGACAUUUCGUAAUUGUGAAUUGGAGAAAUAACCAAAAUAAUAUAUACGAGUUUGCCUCAAGGUUGCAACUUGCAAAUAAAAAGGGCGACCCCAAGCCAACAAAAGCUAUCUCCUUUGCAAGGAUCAGAGGAACGUCUAUCAUACGUAGCCAUACCUUUGCUUUCCAAGUAAUAUAUAUAAUAUAAUAUAUAUAUAUAUAUGUAUAUUCUGAAAUAUGAUUCCACUGAAAAUAAUAGCACCAAAAACACUUGUUUCAUCACAUCUGCUGUUAGACUUCCCAAUUGAAAUCAAAAUUACAACAUUUAGUCCCAUAAAGCCCCAUGAAAAUGGUCCACUUUUGAGGUACAACGAUAAAUAUUACAGCAUAAACAUUGAUGACCUUGCAACCUUCUUGCCAAUAGACGAGAACAUUGAUGCCCGCAUUUGAGUCCUGCUUUUAGAUGACCUUGCAACCUUCUUGCCAAUAUACGAGAACAGUGCAAGAGAAUGACGAACUGCAUCUGUAAAAAACUCCAAAUUAGAAUUAUUGGAAGACAUAACCAACCUUAAUAUAUGCUAAAAAUUAAUAAACCUUGUACCUCCUUAUGAUGAAAGUCGUCCAAAUAGGAUUGCGAUGAACAUAAUAGCGCCAAACCACUUGUUCGACACAAAUCUGGAACCAGCACAAAAAGAGAAAAGGCUAAGUCAAUAAGCUGAUCUUGUUCGAAGCAAAACAAAACCAAUAAAUACUUGGAAACCUAAGAGCCCGUUUGAUACCAAUUGCUUAUCAAAGGAGCCCUAAAUAGUUUUUUUUUUUUUGCGUGACAACACGUACUUUCUAUUGCAAUCAGCUGAGGAUGAAAGAUUAACUGUUGAUAUUUGCCAAGCUAAUUGUCCAAAUGCAACCCCCAAAAAUGCAUAGUACGGCCACCCUGCUCCAUAUAUAGUUGCAAGAUUUGGGUGUGAAGAUGUGGUAAAAGAGAAAAAAUUUGAAAAAUAUAGGAAAUUAUAAAAAAGACAAUAACCUAUCCCAGCAUUGUAUCCACUGAGGGCAAGACUGCUCAAGCACACGAUUCCAAACCCAGUAAUCCAUUUUUUGGUGGAGUCGCCAAAUUUCAAUGCCGUAGACUUAACACCUACUUUCAAAUCAUCUUCCUUGUCCUGCAAGCAAGCAUGGUCAGAAAACAUCUUAAUUUUGUUGGAUUGCACAUUGAAAAACUUAUCUUAUAUUCUACUUAAUUAUUCCAUAAUUUGAUCACACUCAAAUCUUGGAAAAUACAACUUCUGACAAGGAAAUAGCGACGUGUGUUUUCAAUAAUAUUAAACUAUUUUUCACCAAAUUUAUUUAUGACAAAUUAUGUGUUUGUAGACUGUACACAUGUUAUAGAUUUUGUUGAAAAUAAGUAAGGACCAGUCUCUUUUCCCAACAUAUGACUUACAAAAACUAAGACAUUUUAUUGGUGAAUAAAACUUGGUAAAAAAAAAGUUUGGUGUGCAUAGCAUUAGUCGUUGUUUUACCUGAUGUGCAUAUAUGGUAUCAUAGACAAGUGUCCAGCAUACUGCAGAAAAGUACAAUGGGAGCACUAUAACUGGAUCAAUGCUUCCUUUUACUGUUGCCCAUCCUAAUAAAGCCCCCCAAUUAAUCAUCAAACCUAGAUAGGCUUGAGGCUGCACCAAAUACGCAUUAUUAUGUGAUGUAGAAUACCACAUUAUACAUUAUAACGACGUAAUAAGUCGUUAAAUGCAGUCAUGAGAUUGUAAUUACGUACCCAAUAUGUCAAUCUCUUCAUGAGAGGAUAGGUGAAAAUUAGGAACCAAGAUGAAACCCCCAAAACGCAGCUGUUAAUUCCAAUUAAUGAGUUACACAAGCUAGCUUCAAAUACAUAGCAGAUUAUAAUAAUAUUUGCAUAACAAUUAAUCAGAUUAACUAAAAAUGCUAGGAAUAGUUAAUAUAUUUAAGAUAAUUACGUAUUUACAUACCGUUUCAAUUCAUCCUAUUUCAUCGGAUUCAGAAUGUGAUUGACCAUAUUUUGUAAAUCACAUGAUGCAGCGAGUGAUGGUUGAUAAAUCAAGUAAAUGAUCUCUCUAGAAUCAUUCUAAAUAAAUAUUAGUAAGAAUGCUAAUUACCUAUAAUUGUUUACUUGAAGGAGAGUUCCUAGAACCAAGAGCAAUUGAAAUCCAAGAAAAGAAAUCCCCUGAAAAGGUGUCAAAACACCACUUGCAAGAGGCCGCGACUUUGUACGUUCCACCUGAUCAAUUAAUUGCAGAACUUUUAUCAUAUGAACUAAGUAAUUUUUUUUUUUUAAUCAGAGAACUAAGUAUUUAUAUCAAAGAAUAAAUUUCUUCAUCUUUCCUUUGUACUCUCCACCUCAUAAUAAUUUUUAAAUUAUGUGUCAUAAUAUGAGUAGAUUAAUAAUAUUAGGUGACAAUAAUUAGUCCUGAUGUAGCUGAAAAAGUUUAAGCUAGGGUUCGAAAACUGUGAACUGCAUAAACUCAUCAAGGAGUAUGGUUUAGCUUUCUUACUAUCUACAUCAUUGCAGUAUGGUUUUUAUACAGUUUUACAUACACCCGCAUGCCAUAAACAAUAGUACACGCAUGCAAUAAAUAAUGUGAGAUCAUGCAAUAUUCUUCUGCCCAUCUUCGACAGGACUUCAUGGGUUUCAUUUAGAAUAGUCCUUUCACCAUGUCAGCAGCACAUGGAUUAUAUGUCAGCAGCACAUGGCUUAUACUCAGGUAGUUUGAACUGAAUAUUUGGUUUAUCACGCCCCCGCAAGCUGAGUGGGCGCGGACGAACAGGAAGCUUGGAAAGAAGAUAACUGAACCGUGCGGUGGACAAGCCCUUUGUUAAGAGAUCGGCAAGUUGGUCAGUAGAUGAAACAUAUCCCACAACAAGUUCAUUUCUAGUGACUUUCUCUCGAACAUAAUGAUAAUCAACUUCCACAUGACGCAUACGAGCCUGAUAAACGGGAUUGGAAGCCACUGCCAGUGCACUGAUAUUGUCACACCACAAUUUUGGUGGAGUGAGGGGAAGACGAAGAUCACAAAAAAUGUGUCUGAACCAAGAUAAGGUGGCAGCUGUGUAGGCCAUUUGGCGAUACUCGGCCUCCGUACUUGAGCGAGACACGCCGCGCUGCUUUUUAGAACUCCAGGAGACCAAGUUAUCCCCUAGAAAUAUGCAAUGACCACCAGUGGAGCGACGAUCAUCAGGGUCACCAGCGUAGUCAGCAUUGGCAAAUGCUGUGAGGGACAAAAAACUGGGUUUAUAAACGAGACCGCGAUCAUGAGUGGCUUUCAAAUAGCGAAGAAUGCGUUUGACGGCAACCCAAUGUGUAGUGGUGGGCGAAUGCAUAUACUGGCAGACUUGAUUCACAGCGAAAGCAAUGUCCGGACGUGUGAAUAAGAGAUAUUGGAGGGCCCCAACAAUACUUCGAAAGGUUGUUCCAUCCGCCAAGGGCUCGCCCUCAUACAAACUAAGCUUGCGGCCAGGAGGGCUGGAGUAGAGAGUACAAGGGUUUGGCGUCAGCCAUCUGAGUUCGUUUGAGGAGGUCCAGGAUAUAUUUUGACUGUGUUAAGUACAUGGCCGUUGGCGUUCUCGUAAUUUCCAUUCCCAAAAAAUAAUGCAAGGGACCAAGGUCCUUCAUGGAGAAUUUUCGACCCAAUUGAUGAAUCAAGGUGGAGAUGUGAGCUGGAUUAUUACCGGUGACGAGGAUGUCAUCAACGUAAAUGAGCAAGUAAAUGACAUUAGUUCCAUUGCAGAAAAUGAACAGCGAAGAAUCUGCCAUGGAGGCUUGAAAGCCGAGCUCCUCCAGAUGGUGAGAGAAGCACUGAAACCAGGCACGUGGAGCCUGUUUUAAGCCGUAUAAGGACCGACGAAGACGGCAUACAUGUGACGGAAACUGCGGAUCGACAAAACCAGAAGGUUGGCGCAUGUAGACUUCUUCAUUUAAAGAGCCAUGAAGGAACGCAUUUUUGACGUCAAGUUGGCGAAUUGGCCAGUUAAAAUGAAGAGCCACGGAGAGAAUGAUCCUGAUGGUAGCAUGAGUGACGACGGGACUAAACGUCUCACUGUAAUCAAGCCCUUCUUGUUGAUGGAAACCAUUGGCAACAAGACGUGCUUUAAAUCUUUCAAUGGAACCGUCAGAUUUCCGUUUAAUACGGUAGACCCAUUUAUUUGGUAGGACAUUCAUGGAGGGAUGAGAAGGAACUAGGGACCACGUUCCUAUGCUUUGUAGAGCAUUGAACUCUUCUGCCAUUGCCAUAUGCCAUUCGGGAGACUUAUUUGCCUGUGUAAAACAAGAGGGCUCAACAAGUUCAUUAGUCACAUCAGAAACAAGAGCAUACUUGGGGUUUGGCUUCUGAAUGCCAUCCUUUGAGCGUGUAACCAUGGAGUGAACAGGUUGAAUUUGUCUCUGAGAGGAAGGUGAGACAGGAGCAACACCCACUGCAGUCGUAGGGGAUGGAAUGGAAGAAGGGGCAGGGAGGUGCGGAUUUGGUGGGAAAUUAGAGGAAAUAGGGUUAGGUUGGGGGGAUGGUAUAGUGGGAUGCAUGUGAUGUUGCGGAUGUGGUGGUAAAGGGCAGGGAAUAGGACUAGGGUUAGGUGGGUGAGAUAAUAUGGGGAAUAAGUUGGACGGAUGCGGGUUUGGUGGUACAGUUGGGAAAAUGGGGUUCCUAGAGGGAUAAUGGAAAGAAGAGGGGUCAAUGUUCAGUACCAUAGACGAUUGGGAGGAUGAGGACGUUGUAGAAAUGGAUUCUUUGUAUGGAAAAUUGGUUUCAUCAAAUAGGACAUGGCGUGACAAAAAAAUGCGACCUGUGGACGUAUCUAAACACCUAUAACCUUGUUGAUUUAAUGAAUAACCUAAGAAAAUGCAACGUUUGGAGCGAAAUUGCAGCUUGUUAGUAUUAUAAGGACGAAGAAAUGGAAAACAUGCACACCCAAAAACUUUAAGAAAAUCAUAUUGAGGAGAUUUUUGAAACAGUUUUUGAAAGGGAGACUCAUCAUGGAGAACUUUAGUGGGUAAACGAUUGAUCAAAUAGUUUGCUGUAUGGAAAGCAUCAUCCCAAAAAGAAGUUGGUAAGGAGGAAUGAGCAAGAAGAGUGAGACCAGUUUCAACGAUAUGACGGUGUUUACGUUCGGAAAUUCCAUUUUGUUCAGGAUGAUGUGGACAUGUAAAACGAUGUAGAAUGCCAUGUUGAGUCAAAAAAAUUUUGAAUUUGUUGUUUACGUACUCCCCUCCUCCAUCAGUUUGAAAGGAUUUAAUUGUAGUGUGGAACAUGUUUCAACCAGUUUCUUAAAGGACACAAAAGUGAGAAAAACAUCAGAUUUUAAUUUUAAGGGAUAUGGCCAAGAGUAGCGAGAAAAAUCAUCAAUAAAUACGACAUAAUAUUUAAAACCAUUGAUAGAAAAAGAAGGUGAAGUCCAUACAUCGGAAUGAACCAAUUGUAAAGGAGAUGAAGACCUAGAGACAGACAAUGGAAAAGGUAACUUGUGACUCUUGCCCAUGGGACAUGAGUGACAUAACUCACUAGUUACAACGCCCUUAAUAGGCAAUUUGUUCCUAGAAACCAAAUUUUGCAAAAUAUGAGAAGAUGGAUGACCUAACCUAGAGUGCCAGAUUGAAUUGGACACUCUAGUUCCUAAAAAUGCAGACACGCCUUUAAUGGAAGAUGAAACACCAGAAAAAGGGUAGAAUCCAUUCCUACUCGGGCCUUGUAAAAGCAUCCUCCCCGUGUGAAGUUCCUGAACACAGUAUGAGUUGGGAUAUAAGGUUAGAGAACAGUUAUUAUCGGUAGUAAAACGAUGGAUAGAAAUAAUAUUGGUUGAUGCAUUAGGGCAUAGUAGUGUAUUAGGUAAUGUGAAAGUAGAGGUAGGUGUACGAAUGGAAGUGUUGCCUAUGUGUGAAAUUUGCAAACCUGUGCCACCAACAACUCCAUUGACUUGGUCCAUGCCAGUAUAAGGAUGAGGAUGCGCAACAGUAGCAAGAUUAUUGGUGAUGUGAGCAUUGGCCCCGGAGUCAAACAGCCAUUCCUGUAUGGCAGAUGCUGUUGCAGAAGCAGGAGGAGCACGAGCAGCAAAGGCUUGAAGACGUGGUGCAGGGACACGUCCCUCAUAAGACAUAUUUAGGCGGUUGAAGCAGUCAAUCGCAGAAUGACCAUAACGAUUACAUAUUUGGCAUUGAAUCCGGCUUGUAGUAAAAGUACCUUGGGAAGGAGAGGUGCCAAGAAUCCCAUCAUGUGGGCGGGAGUGGGAUACUUGGUGACAGUUGGACCCUUGGUGAUAGUAGGAACCUUGGUGAGAGGGUGAGGAGCUGUAGUGGCGAUUGGUAGAGCCGCGACCAGUAUUGAAGUUACUACGACCACGGAAGCCAGUAGAGGAUCCUCGUCCUCGAGAAGAUGCAGGUGCGCGGUUGCCAUUGCGAACGGUGGCAAGGACAGUGAGCCCACUGUCAGUAUCAAAUGCGGAAUGUAUUUGUUGUCGUCUUUCAGCGCCAAGGAGGAGGGCUUCCAAAGCACUGUAGGUAAUAGCCUCAUCACGGGCUUGAGCGGAAGCAACGGUACUUUCAUAGGCCGGACCAACGUUGUUGAGGAUGAUGGCAACGAUGUCGGAGUCGGAAACAGGAGCACCAGAGAGAGAGAGGGUAUCUGCGAGACAAUUAAUUUUAUCCAAAAAUUCAGAAAUGGAAGAAUCACCUCGGUGAGUAUUCAUCAACUCACUACGAAGCUGGAGAAGGCGACCGGUGGGCUGAGAAGCAUAACGAUCACGUAGUGUUGUCCAGGCAGAGUGGGAGCUGGUUUUCCCAAUUAAAGCAGCAAGCACGGUAGGAUGGACGGAGGAGUUGAUCCAUGACAUAACAGUUGCAUCCUGUUGUAUCCAAGUGUCGAAAUCAGGGUUGACUUUGUCAGUGAUGUUUCCAUCCUCAUCUGUCAGCAAUGCUGGGGGACACUUACUAGUUCCAUCAACAAAGGAAACCAGAUUUCGACUGCGGAGGAGAGGUAGCAUUUGGGCUUGCCAGAGAGGGUAGUUGGUACGAUCAAGUUUGAUCGUGAGAAAAUUGGAGACAUUAGGAAGGGGAAUGGGAGAGGAAGAUUGAGAAGCCAUGGGAGAACGGGGAAAAAAAAAAUUAUUGUCGCUAGACUUUAGCUCUUUGAUACCAUGAAAAAGUUUAAGCUAGGGUUCGAAAACUGUGAACUGCAUAAACUCAUCAAGGAGUAUGGUUUAGCUUUCUUACUAUCUACAUCAUUGCAGUAUGGUUUUUAUACAGUUUUACAUACACCCGCAUGCCAUAAACAAUAGUACACGCAUGCAAUAAAUAAUGUGAGAUCAUGCAAUAUUCUUCUGCCCAUCUUCGACAGGACUUCAUGGGUUUCAUUUAGAAUAGUCCUUUCACCAUGUCAGCAGCACAUGGAUUAUAUGUCAGCAGCACAUGGCUUAUACUCAGGUAGUUUGAACUGAAUAUUUGGUUUAUCAGUAGCAUCCAUGUAUGUGCAUAACAUUAAAAAUUAAAAACAAGAUGACAUCAGUUCACCGUAAUAAAUAUGUUGUGAAAUGCAGCCGAGGGACUAAAUUCAGUAGCUAACCAAUAUGCAGAAAGAAAAUUUCAUAAAUAAAUAAAAGUGUGCAGAAAAAAAAAAGUGCAUAUAAAUCAGUUUCGUAUACAAAAUGACCAUAUAUAAUGGACUUAGUUUACCUUGCCAUCAAUAUCCCGGUCAAGGAGAUCGUUUAUGGUGCACGAGGCGCCCCUAGUAAACAGAGCUCCAAAUCCAAAUAGUAUCAACAUCAUAAUAUCAGGAAGCUGUCCUGGACUUGCAGCCAGUGCUGUUGACCUGCAUGCACCCACCAUAAGCAUAAUUAACUUCCAGUUAAAACAAAUUAAUUAAUUACGUCGACGUUGCCAACGUUUAGAGUGCAACUUAUCCGAUAUGAAUAUAAUGUCGCUGUAACAACUCAUACAAGUGAUAUGUAACACGACAUCAAAAAGAUUUGUACAUUAUAUCAUUGAUACUUGACACCAAAAUACCCUUGCCAUAUAUGUAAAUCUUUUUCUAGCAAAUGUUAGAGCAUCUUCAAUCUUGGAGAUGCAUAUGUAGGUGGAAAUUGGAAAGCCACUUUUAUAUUUUCAUAUACAUCUAUGGAGAUGUAAAUUUUAGUUUUGCUCCAAUGCAUAAAUGUAAAUGAGGAGAUCAAAAUUUUAAUUUAUUCGCUUUUGUGUAAUUUAUUUUCUUGUUAACUCUUAAAAAAAUAUUAACGUAACUAUUUUCUUCCGCACAAUUCGAUCAAAAACAUUCAAAAUUUGGACAGCAUCGAUUUCAUCUCAUUUGGACGUUGGUUUCAUCAGAAGAAGGUUGAAGUAAAACUAGAAAAAAAAUUUGGAUGAGGAAGUGUUUUGUGUGAGAAUUGAAAGAAAAGAAAACUGGUGACUAGAUGAACAAACGUAAUGCCUAUGUUAAGGGGAACUUUUUUUCAAAAGAAAACUAAUGAAAAUGACUUUAAAACUUUGAGUUUUAACGAAAAUGACAAAAUAAAGAGUAAAGUGAAUAAUAACAGUAUUGAUUUUUUAGUGUAAAAAUAUGGUUUUUCAUUAAAAUGAACAGUAGCUUUUCGUUAAAGUUCAUUUUUUUCAAAUGGUUUUUUUUUUUAUUUUGGGCGAUUAAAUAGUAUUUUUUGGAUUAUUUACAACCAUUUGAUUAAACUUUGCAUGAAUCAUGACCUUCCAAAUGCGUGGCGAGUAUUAUUUGCGCGUGGGAGCGCGUUUGCUUGCUUUUCUUUCCUCUUCCACGUGAACCUCUCUGCAAGACUGGCGCAGAUUCCGGCCAUGUAAGAUGCUCUUCGAAAGAAUAACUUAACUGUAAGUUUGCACCUUUACGUGCCUUUAUCCGGUGAGUUGCAAAUUUUGUAACUCAUACAUCUGUAAGACCGAAGGAGAAUCCGGCCAACCAAGAUGUAAAAGUGGGUUUACGACCUCAUUUGCAUCUUGGAUUGGACAUGCACCUAAAACAAUGUUUUUUAGCCUAAACGGUUUGUCUCUUCACUUUGGUUCUUGUGAUUUAAAUUUGAUAUAAAUAUUCCGUGAGAUUCUCCACUCCCAAUCAUUUUAGUCAUUCUAUGAAAAAUCUCCGCUAAAUUGAAGAAACCACCAAUUCAAAGGGGGAGGGGUUGAUUUGACAAAAAUACUCUCAAUUUAACGGAGAUUUCUCACAGAAUAACUAAAAUGAUUUAUGGUGGACAAUCUCAUGACCACUUCAUUUUAAAUCUCAGAGAGAAGUUAUGUCAUUCCUUUCUUCUACAUUCCUUUCACUUACCACAAAGAAGGCCAAGCAAACAGCCAGGUGCCGAUCGGCUUGUCGAGGCGGGCGAGCUUAGCAUAAGGCUGAGCUUGCAUUGGCAGGUACAAGUCGAUCCAAGAACCCUCAGCCUUGUUGUUUUCAUCGCCGCUGGUUUGAUUUCCACCCUUCUUUGGCAUAGUAGAUGGUGAAGACGAGCUCGAGAUGUACGAUCUGAGUCUGAGAUCGAAGUCAAAGUGACUGGAAGUAUCCCGACGACAGUGCCUUUGACUGAAUGAGCCCAACCGUCUUGCGUUGGGAUAGCGGUAAGGGCUUGGAUUGCUGGUGGCAGUGGUGGUGGUGGUGGUGGAAAUUGGGUGAUAAGAAGAUGCUGCGAAGAGGGUGCCAGAGAGAGAACGUGAAGGUUUCAGAGACACCACCAAAGACUCCAUUUGUCAGAAUAUUUCACUCAAAGAUGCAGCACACUUUGGUCUCUUCGAUAUGGAGUAGUUAUACAAUUUAUGCUAUUUUAUGUUUUGUUUUGUUGUAUUGUUGACAGCUAUUAAUUUAUUAUAGGGGAAUUUUGAUAUAUGGACUCCUCGUUUUUAAAUGUCAUAGAUUAAACAUCUAUUUCUUUUGAAAUUUUGAUUAAACAUCUUCCUUACAAUUUUGGUGCUUAAUAUCAUUUCAUUUUAUUUUCUUAGAAGUCUAUUCAUGUUUUUUUUAUUGAAAUAUUUAUGUUAGUAAAUUAAAUAGAAGGUAAAAUAAACUUCUUGUUAGGUACGUUUGGUUAUAUCGGUAUGUUUGAUUAUAUCGGUACAUUUGGUUACUUAUAAGAUGAAUAUAUUUGAUUUAUGGUAUAUCUAAAUUUUUGGUACAUUUAAUUUCUUGAUACAUUUGAAUUUUUGGUACAUUUAGUUUCUUGGUACAUUUGAAUUUUUGAUAUGUUUGUUUUCAUUACUUUUUUUUUUUACUAAUAAUGAGGAAUUACUUUAAUUAUUAUUUUUUUUACAGAAAGAAACAUUAAUUAAAAACAUAGGAGUUUAAAUUACUUUAAUUAGUUAUUUUUUAUAGAAAGAGUCAUUAAAACGUAGGAGUUUAAAGGACUGGGAAAUUAAUUUCCUAGAUUGUAGGCAAUUAGUUAAAAAGUGAAGUGAAGCUGCCUUUAAACUAAUUAUAGGUAAUUUUAAAAAAGAAAAAUGUUGACGUGGCAAUUGGUCAAAGCCUCUUAAUCUAAUGUUAAAAAAGGAACCAGUGUUUGAUCUAAAAAGUAUUAAAAAAUGCAGGAGAUUCUAAUUUCUCCUUUCUUAAUGUCACAUUUUAACGCUACUUGUUCUUGAAAUCAAGCAUAUUACUUGUUGGUCCAUGUUGAUGCAAUAUAUUCAUUUAUAAUAACACGCAUUUAAUUUCUAAUACUAAGCGACAAUGAGACGGUCACAUUUGAAGAAAGAAAAAAUCUUCGGAUAUAGUUUUUUUAGGAUGUAUUUUCUCAGGUCACCAUUUUACGAUGUGGUGAUUGGUUAUUAGAAAGAUUUUAUAUUUUUUUAACACAUAACAAACGUUUAUUAGACAAUAACACUAACAAAAUUAAAACUUACUUGUAUGAAAAAAUGUCUCCCACUUUAGAGUUUAGACCUCUUUGUUUUAGUCAUCCAUGUAUUUAGUUCAACGGUAAUGCUAGCAAUACCAUCUAUUUAAACGAAAUUUUGUAAACUAUAUGACGUGGUUGUUGAUGAUUUGAUUACUAAUUAAGUAUUGAUUAACGUACUUAUUUUCUAUGGACGAUGCAUCACAAAGUUUACAAAUUUGAUCUAAAAAUUGAUCUACAUAAUUAUCAUUAGUUCAAUUGUCUUAAUCAAGCAAAUAAGUUAAGAUUAGUCAAGAAUUGUCUUAAUCAAGCAAAUAAGUUAAGAUUAGCCGAUGCAUCACAAAGUUUACAAAUUUGAUCUAAAAAAAAAGUUUUUUUUUUCAAUGCAUAGUGAACAAUGCCCAUUUAAUGAAAUUUUCAAAUGACAAGUAUAUCACCACAUAUUUUACAAAAUUACAAUCUUUGCCACUGCAUUAUUCUUUUUGGCAACUAUUAUAUGACAUUCAAUAUCAUAUUAUUUUUAGUCAUUUAACAUAUUCAUAACAGUUUCAUAUAAAACAUUACCAAAUACUUAGAUAUUGUUUUCUGUUAAAAGCAUUUUUAAAAAGAAAAAUAAAAAAGGUUUACCAAACAUUCAACAACUUUAUUUUACAGCUAUUUGUUCUUACAACAUAGCAGCAAUAAUUUUGUAGAAUAAUCAUAGCAAUACCAAACUGGCCCUAAGAUAUGCCAAAUAUCCUGGUUUUUGCUCUUUGUGAGUUUAAUUUUCCUAUGAGGGGCAUAAAUAUGUGAAUUGUAAUAACGCAAGGUUCAUAAUCUCCCGUUACUCUUGUUUGGUAUUAUUUUCUACAUUUAACAUAAAUUUGAAAUCACUUAGUACUACGGUCUGGUGGUAUUCCUCUUUACUUAGAAAUGAGAGGUCUUAGGUUCGAAUAUAGUGGAUGGCGAAUUCGAUACUAAAUUAGACUGCCUAUUGUGUGGCUUAACCGAACUCUCCCUCCCCCUAAUGUAAAAAUAUCAAUGUACAUAUAAAAAAAAUUAAAAAAAACAUAAAUUUGAAAAUGAAGAACCGCCAGUAGGUUCCAAAGAGCCAGGAGGAUCCUAGGGAUCCUCUUUGUGAGGAUUCUGGGGAUCCUCCAAUCACAUCUGUUGCGGUCAGAAAUCAGUAUAAAUUUUUUUAUGUAAAAUUGAAUAUAAACCGUAUCUGACAAAAAUAGUAUAUAAUGAACGGAUGUGAUUGGAGGAUCUUGGGAUCCUUACAAAGAGGAUCCGGCGAGGAUCCUCUCCCUCCAAAGAGUGUAUGACCCUUUGCCUUAAAAAAAUAGUAAUAUUUUAAUACGAAUUGUUUGGGUUAUUCAGUUUAGGGAUAAAGAUACACUUGGACAAUUACUUUUCACUUGGGGAAUUAUAUUGCCUAUUGCCCAAGGGGUUUUUUAGGGGUACAACUGCUCAUAUGAAGAGGUAAUAUCCGUAGAGGAGACAAGCAUCUAGCUUGUUCAUGAGCAAGAAGAAGAUGAGCAACCAAGUACACAAUCCUAUGGCUCCUUUUUCUAAUGAUUUUGAGCCGAUCUGAGUUUAUGUAUUUUUAUUAAUGGAACCAGCUCAUCUGGAUCCGUUUGAUACGAUCCAGUUUCUAGGGGGUAGAAUGGAUAUCCGUAGAGGAGACAACUGCUCAUAUGAAGAGGUAAUAUCCGUAGAGGAGACAAGCAUCUAGCUUGUUCAUGAGCAAGAAGAAGAUGAGCGACAAAGUACACGAUCCUAUGGCUCCUUUUUCUAAUGAUUUUUAGCCGAUCUGAGUUUAUGUAUUUUUAUUAAUGGAACCGGCUCAUCUGGAUCCGUUUGAUACGAUCCAGUUUCUAGGGGGUAGAAUGGAUAUGUUUCCAAUCGUAUGUCGUUUAGCAUAACAACAACAUAAAACAAUCUCUAUGGUUUUCCAUUAAGAAAGAAUUACGUCUAACAAGGUCAAUAACAAUAAUCGUCAUUUUACUUUUUCUAGGGUUACAUAGAUAUGAUAUUAUAGAUCAUGGGCUUCAUUAUGGACUAUUAAUAAAAUGACAAGUGCUAAGACAAUCCUUAAACGGUCCAGGCCGAGUUACCCAUACAUAAGAAAUAUGAACUUGGUUUUGGACUCGUUUUUACAUAAGCUGGGUCCAACUCGGAUCGGUUUGAAAAUCAAAAGUACGAAGUGAAUGAUUUUACAUUGGGCCGGUAAUAUGGUUCGGAUCCACAGGUCCAAAGACCCAUGGUAACUACAUUCAACUUUUACUUUUCGAAAGGAUAAAAAUUGAAAGUCAAAAUUAAAAAACUCAAGAAAGUAGUGUUUACAUUUUGUUUUUAUUUAUUAUUAUUAUUAUUAUUAUUAUUUUAAUUGAAAGUUAAAAGUAGUUACCAAAAGAGUUUUCAUUUAAAAAAAAAAACGAAAAACUAAAAGUUGAAAACGAAAUGGUGGAUAGCCUUCAACAAGUCAGUUUAGUGCUAGAAAAUUAAAACAUGUGCUUCACCUUGUAUUCAAACACACUAUAUCAAACACUUUACUAUUGUAAAAGUUUUAUGAACUGAUCCUCUCAAAAUGGAGAUCAGAUUGACUAUCGCAUACAAGUUAUUAUUAUUGUUGUGGCGAGAAUGUUUGAGUUGUGCAAUGGUAUUGGUGGGGGAAGUGCACUCGGGAGUAGGGUUCUGGUAAACCUGCUAUUUACUUAAUUUGUUCAGUUAGAGUUUACUAUUUGUACCAUGUAAACAAUUUGACGCAUUUAUCAACAUAUUUUGACAACAUAUAUAGUCAAGUGAUACACGAGUUGAAUUUUAGGGAGUUCAGUGCCAAAAUUUGAGUUUCAAAAGGUUAAGUGAGACUUGGUUAAGAAGUGUAGAAGUAAUUAAGCCUUAAAAAAACAUGUAAAGGAGAUGGGCAUCCGGCUUGUGCAUGAGUUCUAGUAGCGAAGCCAACAUGGGGUCAUUGGUUGUCCUUGACCCCAACAACUUCAAAAACCCCAUGUAUAUUUAUUUGUAUAUUAUAUUUGACCACUAUAAACAGCUAAGGAAACUAAAUUACAACCUUAUCCUCCUACUUUUAUUUUCUUCUAUCAUAUUUGUCUUCAUUUUCUCUCUUCUUGUAAAAAAUACUUUAGUUGAAAUGCCUUGACAGUCUUCAAUUAUUGCAGUAUCCUGCAUGCACACAAGCCUCUACAAAUGUUGACGUAUGUCGGCAUAAACAUUCGGCAUGUCUUGAGAGGAAUUAGAAGGUGCCUACUAGAUGCUUGAUGAAAUGGAAACUUUUUUUAUUAAUAUUAUGACCCCAUUAUUUGAAAAUUCUGGCUACGUCACUGGUUCUAUGUGACGUUUUUAAACAUUUGGCUAGAUUUCGGGGUUGAUGCCAAGAACCUACAUCCUGUCCUAUAGGCCAGCAUCAAGGAGAGCAAUGAGGUUCAGUUCCUUAAUGCUACUUAUGCGUUCUUGUUGCUUUGUUUUGUUGUUUUUACUAGGGUUCCGAAACAAUUGAAGGUCUUGCCUUGACUAAUCCAAAUGAUGCAGCCCUGGAAAGUAAUGCUUUUGCAAGAAUGUGUACAACCCGAAACUACUCCAGCUUAGCCAUGUACGACUCAAAGGAAGGUAUAAAGAACUACCAAAAGGAUUAAGAUUGCUGUGUUGGCUUGAAUUUCCUUUCGAGUGCUUGGUUUAUCUUGAAAUGAAUCACAGUAUCUUGAGACGAGUCUUUACCCGGAAAUAAAACUUGAGACGGGUCUUCAAGGCAAGAAAGAUGUAUUACUGCUUCAGGGUGUUUUACCAUGAAUAUCCAAAUUAACUCCUCGCCUUCUUUCUCUCUUCCGUUUCGUUUUUCAGUGCCUUCCCGCAUUGAAGACCCUUGAUCUAAGUCAAUCUCACAGCCUUACUGAAAUUGGUAUCUUCUCGCUGCUCCCCAAUUUGGAAGAAUUACAGACUGUAUAAACUUGGUUUAUGUCCCUGAGUUCAUUGUAAACCUAAAAAGGCUCUACUUUAUAAAGAUUAGGAAGCUUGAAUCUCUGUAAGGGUUAGAUUUAGCCGAUAUUCGAAUGGCUCAAAUACUCAUGAACGCCACUGCAAUGGUCGAAUCAUGCAUAAGAGAAAUCCAAUGACAUAUUGGUGGCAGGGUUGAGGAUUACUAGCGGCUUAUUUCAGAUCAUUGCUUCUGGGUACAGGUCUUGCAAAAUUUCUGGCACCAGCAAAACUGAAACCGAGUUUGAGCCAGCUGAUCAAAUCAAAGUGUAGAUGCCAAGAAUACAACCAUUUAAGUUAGAAAGAGCAACUUCAUGACGGUUUCGUAUAGCUGUUAUGAAUCUCCCAAUUCAAAUGGGAAAAAAGCAGCUCAAGCCUUCGUCCCAAUGUUCAUCAUUGGCCUUUUCCAUCUUGCUCCACAGUUUAGCAAUCAAAGAUCGAACAUUUUGCAGCAAUAAGAGAUGAAGCAAGCCUCAAAAGAUGACGACUCCGCGAGGCAGUCAGACUAGAGGUGAGAAACCGAGACUGUAUCGGCAGUGGACGUGUUUUUUAAAAAGGUUGGAUAAUCGAGGGCGACAUUUCAUGGCGCCAACUUAAAUUUUAACUCCCCGUAAACAAACUGAUGGCGCCAAUUGAAAUACAAAGAUAAACCCAAAUCAAAACGCUGCACGCCCAAGUUAAUUGAUGGCGCCAUUGAAAGAGCAUCUAAAAUCCUAACUUUCCUUUCAUAUUCUACCGAUUUUCUGAAUUUUCACCCCUUUCUGCAGGCAACACAGAUUCAAACGGAUUGGAGACAUCGAAAGAUUUCCCCAAAACCAAAUCCCCCCUUUUCAAACACCAUUGUGGCAAAAACUUUCCAAAAUCAAAUGAAACUGUAAACUCCGGAAUAUGCAAAAAAACCAUCUUACCCCAUUCAUGAUUUGAAAAUUUGAAACAGCACAAGUACAGAAAUAGGGUUUUGAUUUCCAAUUCGAGAGAUUACAGAAUCCAAGUUCAUCAAUCCAUACCAGUACAGAUUUCAGAUAAUAUAAGCCAUAGUAUUUCAUUCAAAAGAAAGAUAAGCAAAUUACAUAUCUACUAAUUCGAAACCCUAAACACUAAACACAUAAAGAUCCAAUCUUCCAAACCCUAAAAGACCCUGAACCCACCACACUUCAAGAGCUGGUAAACUUGGUCACCGCCUUAGUCCCCUCGGACACCGCAUGCUUAGCGAGCUCACCAGGAAGCACCAAUCUCACAGCAGUCUGGAUCUCCCGAGAAGUGAUGGUGGGCUUCUUGUUGUACCUGGCGAGCCUGGAGGACUCCUGGGCGAGCUUCUCGAAGAUGUCGUUGAUGAAGCUGUUCAUGAUCCCCAUGGCCUUGCUGGAGAUUCCGAUGUCAGGGUGGACCUGCUUCAGGACCUUGAAGAUGUAGAUCUUGUAGGUCUCCACGCUCUUCUUCGAUCUCUUCUUCUUCUUGUCGCCGGCGGCGGCUCCAGCCUCCUUCGGGAGCUUCUUCCCGGCCUUGGGCUUCUUCUCGGCGGGGGCCUUCUCAGCGACAGCCGACUUCUUCUCCUCUGCUGGCUUCUUCUCGGCGGGCUUCUUCUCAGCUUUGGGCGCCAUUGGGGUGGUGAGAGAAAAUUAGGGUUUGCGAAUUUGGGGGUUUUCGAAAGCGAAGGGAUGCGAUUCGAUUAAAGAGAGUAGAAAUGCAGAUUCUUUCGUGUGUAAAUUAAAGUGGAGGAAUGGGUUCGUUUAUAUAGAGGGGAGUCGGCUGUUGUUAUUGGUUGGUGGGGGUUUCACGCGGAUCCUGAGGUGGGUGAGCUUUCUGGCCGUACGAUGGGUUUUGGAAAAGCUUGGGGAUCGACGGUUGCUAUGAGUGCGGACGAUUGAAGCGACUCCGAUGGAUAGCUGAGUUGGCGCGUUACUGCACCGCCGAUUCUUUCUGCUUGAUAGACGGUUGAGAUAUGUCGUUUAUUCGCUCCGCCGUACCUGUAUGCUCCAUACCAUAUGCAAGCGAGGACUUUCGUUCUUCAAAGUUUUUUUUUGAGCAAAAGAUUGUUUACUACUCUUAUGUUUCGUGGUUUUCAACAUUUAGUACAUCAAGUUUUUUUCGUCUCAGAGUCAUACCUAAAGUGUAAAUUUUGGGACAGUCUCAUACAUCCAUUAGUCAAACUGUUAAGUCUGCCGUUAACAGUGACGUGGCGCACAUGUGGACAAUGACUGGAUGCCACGUGGAAAUUUAAAAAAAAUAAAAAAUUAUAUAUUAUAAAGUAAUAAAUAAAUAAAUUUUUAAAAAAAAAACGUUUUUUUUUUCUUCUUCCUCCUUCAUUUUCCUUCUUCUUCUUCUUCCUUCUUCUUCCUCUGGGUAGCAGAUUCGUUUUUUUUUUUUUUUUUCUUUCUUCUUCCUUCUUCCUUCUCCUUCUUCCGAAUCUGCCCAUAUUUUUUUUCUUCUUCCUCCUUCUUCUUCCUUCUUCUUCCUCCUUCUUCCUUCUUCUUCUUCUUCUUCGAAUCUGCCCAGUUUUUUUUUUUUCUUCUUCCUCCUUCCUUCUUCUUCUUCCUUCUUCUUCCUCCUUCCUUCUCCUUCCUUCUCCUUCUUCUUCGAAUCUGCCCAGUUUUUUUUUUUUUUUUUUUGUUUUUUCUUUCUUUUCCUUCUUUCUUCUCCUUCUUCCGAAUCUGCCCAGUUUUUUUUUUUUUUUUUUGUUUUUUUCUUUCUUUUCCUUCUUUCUUCUCCUUCUUCCGAAUCUGCCCAUUUUUUUCUUCUUCUUCCUUCUUCUUUUUCUUCCUCUUUCUUCUUCUUCCUCUUCUUCUUCCUUCUUCUUCCUCCUUCUUCCUUCUCCUUCUUCUUCUUCUUCUUCUUCUUCGAAUCUGCCCAGUUUUUUUUUUUUUUCCUUCUCCUUCUUCUUCCUCCUUCCUUCUCCUUCUUCUUCUUCUUCUUCUUCUUCGAAUCUGCCCAGUUUUUUUUUUCUUCUUCUUCCUCCUUCCUUCUCCUUCUUCUUCCUUCUUCUUCCUUCUUCUUCGAAUCUGCCCAGUUUUUUUUUUUCUUCUUCCUCCUUCCUCCUUCUCCUUCUUCUUCUUCUUCUUCUUCGAAUCUGCCCAGUUUUUUUCCUUUUUUUUUUUCUUCUUCAUUCUCCUUCUUCUUCCUCAUUCUUCCUUCUCCUUCGUCUUCUUCUUCUUCCGAAUCUGCCCAGAUUCGGUUUUUUUUUUUUAAUUUUUAUAAUAUAUAUAUAUAUAUUUUUUUAUAAUUUUUUUUUAAUUUCCACUUGGAUGACACGUGGCGCCCAGUCAUGGGCCACAUGGGCGCUACAUCACAGUUAACGGCUGACUUAACAGUUUGACUAACGGAUGUAUGAGACUGUCCCAAAAUUUACACUUUAGGUAUGACUCUGGGACGAAAAAAAAUUGAUGUACUAAAUGUUGAAAACCACGAAACAUGAGGGUAGUAAACAGUCUUUUGCCCUUUUUUUUUAUACAAACGAUAUUAUGCUUUAACAAGAAUGGAGAUAUUUGAGAGGCAAUUAACUUGGUCACAUAAUAAACCAAUCACUCGCUAGACAUCGAACUUAACGUAAAUAUAAUACUUCAGCCAUAUGAGUUAAAUUUGAACCUGAGAAAAAUUAAAAGUAAAUCCUUGGAAAAAAUUAGACUUGUUUAAGUCAUGAGCUAAGUUUCGACAAGCCAAAUACAAUCCAAAAUCAAUGCAAGCACAAGAUAUUUCAAGUUGAUUUGCAACUUCAGUCUCUAUAUUUAAGGGCUCAUUACUUAUUCGUAAUGGAAAAACAAGAAUCAUAUCAUUUAGAAUUUUAGAAUAUGUGCAAGAAUAACUCAUUCACAUUAAGUUGUUUACUAACCACAUGAAAUCAAAUUAAAAAUGAAAUGUAUUUCCGUUGUUAUUGUUUACUAAUUCUAAUGAGUUGGAAUAAAAUAAACAAUGAGGAAAUUUUUGACAAACAUGGGAAGAAAGGAAUGAAAAUCAUAGUUAAAAGACUAUAUUUCUCUCCAUUUGGUGAGUCUUUCCACCUCUGUGUGAGUGCCCUCCUUUCUUGUCUUUCUCCUCCUUGCCGCUGGCCCUAGCUAUGGCUAGGGUUGGUGGCAGUCCUCUUCUCCUUCUUUUUCUUUACCCUUUUUCUUUUCUUCUCCUACAGCUUCCUUUCUCCCUUGUUUUUUGGUUCAAACAUCCCUGUCCUCCAACCUCUUAUGCAUAUGCUUUCAUUGUGCUUAGGCCUUACUUCCAUUAUCCACUUCUUCCACCUCUAAGCCACUCCCUUUCCUUACCACCUCUAACGAAAUUUGGGAUGAGCAAGCCACCCGCACACAAAGCGCUCCCAUAAUCCAACUUUAACAUCUACCUAACACCAAAGUGUGUCGUUGAGGAGACACAUUUGAUGGGCCAAGUAGCGAGGUUGGCCGUGGAAGAAUGACUACGGGAAGAAACAUCUAAGUUAGAGAGGGGCAUAAAGCUUAACAAUAAUUGAGACAAAAGCUCAAAGAACACCAAAAGACAAGAGCCAAAUUGAAAUAUAUAAAGGCUAAUGCCUGUUGGAACUUUUGUGAUUAUGUGGGACUCCCAGUCCCACAUCGCCCAUUUCCCAUCUUUAAGUCAUCUUUAUAAGUGUGUUCUCACACUUAUGGUUUGAAAAGAAUUAGGCAAAGGCCAUGGACCUUGUGCCUAAGACUUGGAGGGUUUGGGUGUAUAUAUUAAAUGUCAUAGAUGGGCCUUGGGUCUUUGGGCUCUUGGGGUUGGAUGGACGAAAAACACAAAUUACGGUUUUUAUUUUUUGGAUUCGGUUUUUCUGAAAGGAUAAAAGUGAUUGAACAGUUAUGUCUGUUUUAAAACUGAUAAGAAUGAACGGUUACAUCUAUUCAACUUAUGCCAUUAUAUAUAUGGCAAUAAGAUCAGAAACUAAUAUAGAAUUCCAAUCGCUUCCUUUUCAUCUUACAUAGAGAAAUGCACAACCAAUUCGCCAAGAAUCCAAGUUCGAGUGCAAGAACUUGGAUUAGAUAGUUGUAUCCUGCAAGAUAGACGUCCAUUGAACCACUACGCGGGUGUAGGGGUGAAUUUCUGUCUUAGGUGAUUGCAUUUGCAAGCCUCUAUCUUCAAGAACAAGUCAAUGAUUUGUGAUUUUAUAUGCAAUUUACUUAAGUGUUUAUACUUUGAUAUUUAUUGUAUUUGUUGUUGAAUUUUUUCAUUAGGAAAAAAUUGUGCAAAUUGUAUAUAUAUUGUAGGGGUGGGUUCGGUUUAAAUCGGUUCGGUUUUUUGCCAAAACCGAAACCAAACCGAAAUUUCGGUUCGGUUCGGUUUUUUCCAGUUCGGUUUCGGUUUUUUGUUUUUAUUUUUUUUCAAAAAAUGAAAAACAUUGAAAUUUUAAAUUUUAACAUAUCCAACACAAUCAUAACAUAAACAUUCUAACUAGAAUCAAAGACAAUGAAAAUAAACAUUUAAAGUUGAACUAAAAUCAUUAAUCAAGUCUUUCAAAGUCCAAACUAACAACCUCACAACACAAAAAUCACACAAAAAUCGUACAAAUGACUUAGAAAAGUUAAAUUGUAUGAUGUUGUUCAAAGAUCAGUGUUGUUUGCUUGUAACUACAUGUUGACAACUUGAUUAGUAAAGGUAAUGCGUGGGUGGAUUUAUUUAGUGUGUGUUGGAUUCUUUUCCAUCACAAAUUACCCAAGUAAUCUACCCGAAAUAAAUGUUUAUGGAUUAUGUUUACAUGUUAUAUGAGAGUAGAUUUGGAAAAGAAAGCUGGCGCAGAAGUAGACAGUGCUAUGGAGAUGGAUGUAGGUACUUCGGGAAGAGGUUUGGUUCCGGAACCUUAUAUGGGGGAGAAAUAAUAGGUUAGGGUUUAGAGUUUUUAUAGGCCUUUUUUUUAAUAUUUUGAGCUUAAAAGUUUUGGCAACACAUUGGGUUAGCACAUUUUAACUUACAAAUUGGGUUUAGAAAAUAAUACCCAAAACAAAUAAUUAAAUAAAAAAAUUAAUUUAAUUAAUUCGGUUCGGUUUCUAGAUCACUAAAACCGAACCGAACCAAAAGAAUUCGGUUCGGUUCGGUUUUUUCAAUUUGGUUCGGUUUUUUCGUUCGGUUCGGUUUUUUCGGUUUCGGUUCGGUUUGGUUUUCGGUUUUUUUCGGUUUUUGGUUUUUUGAACCCACCCCUAAUAUAUUGUAUCAGUGACAUUUGAUUGGUUUCUAACAAUGCGAUAAGAGAGAAGGAAGUAGUUGGGAUUGGCAAUGGGAGUUUGUUAGACCCCAUUUGAACCUUAACUCAUAUACACAAGAACAACUGUUAUUACUCAAGAACCGUAAUACAAUCAAUAUCUUCAACAUACUUGCCAUGCACAAGGGCAUUACUAAUCAGCUUCUCUCUCUGCAAACUAGCAACUAAUACCGUCACACACUUUGGCUUUCCUUCUCCGUCGUAGAAUCAUAGACCACCGAUGCAGACUCCACAUCCACCAUGUUAGACAUCUAUAUUUCUUGUUGGACAGUGUGAAUACAUACCUAUUAACUCAAAUCUUGAAAAGGUGAACUUUCUUUCAUUCUUUCUGUUCUUGUCCAUACAAGCUUCUAUAUGAUGCAAUUCCAAAUUACCAUCAUACUUCCCAUCAAUGAGCAUGAAAGGCUUCUUAAAACUCUCAUGCACUCAAACAACGUUUCAUCUUCGUCCCGAAUCCUAGUAUGAAAUGCUUCAGUUCACUUAAUAAAAACCCUGACUGCUGCGGAAGAAUCAAAACCUAGAAAACAAUUUUAUCCUUGGAUUUCAUGAAUCAAAAUCAAGAAGUGGCCUCGCCUCUGACAACAAUGACUUUGCUUGUCGUCGUGGUGUUUGGCACAGUCAUGAACCUUGUUGAAUUUCUUCAAUAUAGGUGUCAAACAAGGAAGGUUCUUGGGCUUGUAUCUUUGACGAAGUUGAGAGAAUAACUGAUUCACUUUCUCUCAGGCCCGAAUCUAUUCUUCAUGGAAGGAUUGAAGCUUGAGAACGAUGUUAUCCAAUUUCAAAACCGAGAUACGAGACUCCAUUGUUUGGUUUGCAACACAAGUGUUAUCUAAGUCCAACUUGAUUAAGGGUUGAAGCUUCGAAAAUUGAGAAUCUUGAUGGCCCAAACUGAAAUCUGGCAGUGUCGCACCAAAACUGCGGUCGAGAUUGCAGAAAUCACCAUGCACACUGCCAUUUCGACAGAGCUAGCUGAUAGCAUAGUUGCAAGAUUCCGUUGUUGAUAGUUGAGAAACCAUUGUUGAAAUUUGAGAUUCAAACAAUUUGAGUGAACUCCUUUCACUUCAACUCUUAUUCAAUGAACGGUAACUUUGAUUAAUUGGUAAUCACUUCUACAACGACUAACCUUUCAACUAGCCUUUAUCUAAAUUAACUAAUACAACUAAUAAGAUAACAAACCUAAUAGCUCAACCAAAUUUGUUACAAACAAUUGACACACGUAGAGUUAAAAUGAUGCCAUUUGGCAUCAUAUCAAUAAUGUUAGGAUGCUAUUAAGAUCUUGCCACGUCACAUGCCACGUCAUAUCAUUUGUGAUAUGAUUUUAUUGGUCCAUGUGUAAUAUUUGUUAGGAAGUUAGUUUGAUCUUUAGCAAGCAACAAUUUAUAUGUUUUGCUCUUGUGCAUAAUAAAAUAUGUUGAAGAUAUUAUUGUAUUUUGGUUUUUGAGUAAUAGAAAUUGUUCUUGUGUAGAUGAGUUAAGGUUCGAUCGAGGUCUAACAUUGGUAUCAAGCCAGUGAUUCCUACACUUUGUUGAAAUGAGAAGUUUGCUCAAAUUGUUUGAAUCUCAAAUUUCAACAAUGUUUUCUCUACUAUCAACAACGAAAUCUCACAACUAAGUUGUCAGCCAACCCCUUCGAAAUGACAGUGAGCAUGGCGAUUUAUUCAAUGUUCUUACUCAUAAGGACUAAAAUCUUGGCCAAAGACCUUCAUGAAAUCUUCCUAGCAAGGAUAAUUGUGACAAAUUCACCCAUUAUAACCAUUGCAGAGCUUCCCCUUCCAUGUGGAAAGAUGCCAUUUUCCUUUCUUGGAUUAUUUAAUGUUAAAGAAAUCAAAGUAGUGCUCUGCCUUAUAGACCCAACACAGUGGUUCGUUGCCAUCUCCAAAUCAAGGAAAAUCCAUCUUGAUAAUGAUGCUAGCAAAUUUGGGGCAAAAUCUAUGAGAUGGAAAUUAGGGUUUCUCCCUCCUUGGAGAUUAGGAUUGGUGUAUGUCACAUCGGAAGAUUACCGGAGAUAAACCACUCAUCACCCCGAGAGAUUGAAGCCGUUGAAUGAUCAAUUCUUGGCUGGCUUUGAAAUCGUUCUUGAAUUCGACGAACAAAUUUUUCAGAUUUGACACUUUUGCCUUUAUAGCUCGACGAGAAGCUAAUCGAGUCAUACACUAAAAAGGGGGCUCAUGAUCCCUCUCCGAUACCAAUGUUAGACCUCAUUCGAACCUUAACUCAUAUGCACAAUCAAUAACUAGAAUACAAUCAAUAUCUUAACAUACUUUGCUAUGUAUAAGGGCAAUAUAUAAACUAUCGUAAGCUAAAAUCAAACUAACUUCCUGACAAAUAUUACUCAUGGACCAAUAAAAUCACAUCAUAAAUGAUAACAUGGCAUGUGAUGUAGCAAGAGCUUAAUAACAUCCAAACAGAGUUGCCACCGACCUCCAGCCAAAAGUAGGAAUCAGUUGCAAAGGAAGAUUAGGGUUUUUUUUGCGCUUUCAGCAAGAGAGAAGGGUCUCGGUUUAGUUGAUCCAAUUCCUAAUUUUUAGCUAUUCGAUUAAGAAAUUUAAUUCCUUACGUGCAAGUAAACAUAAAAAAGUUAAGAGUUGAACUUAUUCUCUUUCUUUUCAUUCAUGUUACUCAUAAGUAAACGAACUCUAAGUUUGAAACUUUGAAUGUCUGCUAGAAAAUCGCUUUAACUAAAAAGAAAAACAUGGUGGGUUUGUGGGCUUGCCCUUCUUCGAUGUCCGUGACCCAAUGGUCAACACAGUGGGCUUUGUCCCAACCGAAGUUCACUCAUCGCCUAAGGUUAUUUUCGUAAAAGAACAGUCAUACAUUAAGAAGGCUGAAAGCUCCUCACUCCUCAUCACCUCAAAAACAAAACCCUAGUGCCUUCCUCUCCAAACUCCAUCAGCCAGCCGCCUAGUCCGAGCUCGCAGGUAAAAUUCCAAUUCUCCACCAAUCUCCAAAAUUUUCGAACAAUUUAACACCUAACCAGUAUCCAAAAACACCAUGAUUUGUUGACUAAAUUUUGUUUCUUUUUCCAUGCCUGCAGAUCUACAGCUUUUGGUUUCGUUUUCAGCUCGCACUUGCGGAAAUGGUGCGCGUCAGCGUUCUGAACGACGCUCUGAAGAGCAUGUACAACGCCGAGAAGAGGGGAAAGAGACAGGUCAUGAUCCGGCCGUCGUCCAAGGUCAUCAUCAAGUUCCUCCUGGUUAUGCAGAAGCACGGUUCGUAUUUUUGAAAUCUUGGGUUUGUUUUGGAAUUUUGUGUUUUUAUUGGGUUCGAUAUGUGAUUUUUUAUUGUUUGGUUUUUGGGAUUUGUGUAGGAUAUAUUGGGGAGUUUGAGUAUGUUGAUGACCAUAGAGCUGGAAAGAUUGUGGUUGAGCUCAAUGGGAGGCUGAACAAGUGUGGGGUUAUAAGUCCCCGAUUCGAUGUCGGUGUGAAGGAGAUUGAAGGCUGGACUGCUAGGCUUCUGCCUUCCAGACAGGUUUGAUUUUCUCACUCAAUCACUGUAUUGGGUUUUGGUCUGUCAUAUUGUAUGGAUUUGCCGGAUUGCGCAUUUUCGUUCGAGUUUUCACGCUGUGAUUACGAAUGCAAUGUGUAUAUAUGCAGUUUGGAUAUAUUGUGCUGACCACCUCUGCUGGAAUCAUGGACCACGAAGAAGCGAGGAGAAAGAAUGUUGGUGGCAAGGUCCUCGGGUUCUUUUAUUGAAGUGAGUAUGAAGCGCAACUUUAGGAAGUUUUUAUGAGAUUUUGGUUUCGUUUCAUUUGUUUUUGCCGAAAGAAGAGAACCCUUUUUCUCACCAAUGCUGGUUUGAAAAGUUUAUUGUACUAGGAUAUUUAGUUUCGUUUUCUGUUUUGAUCGACUCUCAUGUUAUUGCAACCUUGAAUGUUAAAGUUACGUGAAGCUUGCGGUUUAUCUUUUGCGUUAGUGUAUUGGACAAAUGGUGUUCUACAGAGCAAGAUCUUUUCUUUAUCGGGUUAUGUAGAUCGGGUAGAGUCUUGACCAUUAUUUAUGGAAGAGAGAUUGUUUUGAGACUAGGAGACCUUAGGAAACUAUCAUACAAGACUAUUACGUUGAAUGUUGCUUUGGAGUUCAUCAGAGGAAUGACUAUGCCUUUGAAGUCAUGGAUACAUGUUAAUGGAAGUCAAUAUGAUCCUGGAGGUAUGUUUUUUGUGAAAUCUCUUAGGCUUCUAGUAUCGAAGCCUCAAGCCGAGGGCUUCAAAGCUCGAUUUUGACUUGUCAUGUCCAUCUUUUCUCCAGGAUUUGAUUCUUUUUUGUGGCCCUGCAUCUUUUAUGCAAUGUUGUAGCUGUUACAAAAUGUUUGGAGCUCCGGAUAUCUAUGGUAUUUAGCAAUUCAAUUACGAGUUGAUGUUAGCGUCUACUUUAGCGUUGUGAUUCAUUCAUACUGCAGUAGAGUGGGACUAGUUAUUGUUUCUUGUAAGGCUUAGCGCGAGUACUGCGGCAGGACUAAGAGCAUCCCAGCCCGGGGCUCUGUAUGGGGCUGGAACGGGAAAAGUGAUAGAUAUAGCUUAUUUUAGAGCUAUGAGGAAUCUUUGGGGUUUUAUAAAAUAAUCUUUUCCAAUGAGGGGUUAUAUCUUUUGGGCUGUAUAUGAGGCUGUAUAUAUUUAUUGAUGUGGUAAUUUGAUUAAGUGAUGAUAUUUUUUUUUUUUGUGUUAGCUUUUCUUAAGUUGAUUUUUGGAUGUGCUAUCUUAAUUUUUUUUAAUUUUUUUUUAUGAACUCUUCAACCUAAAAUGUUCAAAUUGUGACAAUGUUAGAUUUAUCACUUAUGAAUUGUUCGUUUGAUUAGAUUCCCUUAUCUCAAUCUUAUCCGUUGAAAGAAACAAACUCUCAUUUCGCCUUCUGAAAUAAUUUGAUUUUCACGUAUAACACAACAAUUUACCUAGCACCAAUUGGUAAAUUAGUAUCAAUCAAUUUGAAAAAAAACAAAAUUUUAAAAUUUCACCCAUCAAUGCUUAUGAAUGCUAAAUCAAUUUGAAAUUUUAAUUCUUAUGGAAUUUAAAACAAUCAUUAAUUAGUCAAAUUGUAAGAAAAAUAAGUAAGAAAAAAGAAUUAAAAAAAUAAUAAAAUGAGAGUAUAAGUGUAUUCGCAAGUAGAGAGAGAGUGAUAGAAUUUUGCUUACAUGGAUUGUUGUUUUUUUUUGUGGGACCCGCUGUUUUUUGGGGUUAGAUAUAGUCCGAUUUUAUGCUAACUAAGAAAGGAAGUUGCUAGCCCAGUGGUGGAUCUAAUCCUAUUUUCUAGCUCAAUGAAUUUUCUGGUUAAGGCUGGAAAUUGAGAAGGAUAAAGCCCCCAUUAGAAUGCUCUAAUGAUCACUUGUAUAGAAAUGGUCGUGGAAUUGCACCCAUCGUUAGUGUCAUGGACGCGGUGCAGCUCCCAUUGAAAGCACAUAGUUAGUGUUACGAAUCCAUCGUCUUCAGCCUUCUUCGCUUUUCUUCAUCGCGCAUCUCGUCCCUUUCCUUUGUUAUCUCCUCUCUCCUCUCUUUCUAUGGUACCGAUUAGCAAUAUUUUCGAGUGGGCAAUUUUUGUUGAAGGUGGUUAGUGGUGGUUGCAGUGGAAUUUGGAUUUGAUAUUCUGUUUUUUAUUUUUACUUUUAUUUUUUAUUUUUAAGGUGGCGUGCUUUAUGGCGUCUGGGUUUUUGGCUGUUCCUUUUCUGAUCGAAACUCAAUCCACAGAAUUGUUGGGUGGAAGUUUAUUUUUGUUCUUUCCAAUUUAUAAGAGAAAAUUGUAGAAAUUGUCUCUCGAUUUUGACUUAAUUGGAGCAGUAGUUUUUCAACUAAAAGUUCAUCAAUGGUCCCUUAAGCAUACAACUAUGGUCUUUUUUGUCAAUUUCGUCAGAAUUCUGUUAGAAUUCCGUCAAAAUGAGUUAUGUUGGAAUGACAAUUGCUCAAUGGGGCUAAACUUGAGGGACCAUUUCUCUAAUUGGUCAUUUGGUUUUCCAUUUUUUGCCCCUUAAUCACUUGUGUGGCAUGCAACUCAUUUUUAUGAAAAUCCUAAUGUAAUUGAUGAAAAUGACUAUAGUUGCACGUUUUGAUGAGUUAAGAGAUCAAUGGUUACAAAUUUUUAGUUGAGGGACUACUACUCCAAUUGGAUUAAAGUUGAGGGACCUUCCUACAAUUUUCUCAUUUGACAAAAGCAAAUUUUUUUAGCCAAUCCAAGAUAACAAGAGUCCCCUCCACUUCAAUUACAUCCUGUCCCAUCCUAAAUAUUAAGUCAAAUCUCAUCCGAACCACCAAAUGUGUACUCCAUAUGGUGUAGUGAUUUCAUUUCAUCCAUCAUAAAAUCAUGUGCUUUUCGCUUUUUAGCUGAUGAGCUCCGAGUUAAAAUGCAUUCAUUCAAUUAUAUUUUUAGGUUUACGGUUGAGACUGAAGCCCUUUUCACUCGUACACUCACUUUUUUCUGACAUACAUGUCAUGCAAUAAAUCAAGAAAAAUAUUCGACUCCUUCCAUUUUAAUUAGUUUUCAUUUUUUCUAGCAAUCACUUGUUUGUUAGCGUAGAGGAAAGUUUUCUCAAAUGUAAGAAACCAAGCAGUGUUACGCUGAUUAUAUUGUACCGAAAUUAUCAUAUGAUUAGAAUCAUAUAAAUUGAAAGUUAUCACACAUAUGUGGUGUUUGAUGUUAAACAUUUUUCUGUUUGCCAUUUCACAGAUUGAUUACAAAGAAGGAGAAUAAAAAGAUAGAUAUCCAACCACCAUGAAAAUUAUAGAUUGCGAAAGAGCCACUAAUAAAUAAGGAAGCUAAGCUCUAGCAAAAUAGUAAUAUCCCUUAACAAUGUUUCUUCCUUUCAAGCUUAAAACAACAUGAAAGAAAAGAUACAAAAACCUUGAACAUAUGCUCUGCCAAAGAGUCCUUAGUUGCCCAAACAUAUCCCAACUUUUAAUGGCCACGAUUCACGAACUCCUCAUCGUUGUCGUCCUCCUCCUCACCAUCACCACCGUUGAUCUUCCCACCGCACGUCCUCGUUGCCAUGGAGGGGUGGAGCAGCAGUGGACACCUAGAUGGAGGCCAUGGAUGGCUUUAAGAGGGAAUGAGUGAGAGGGAGGUUUUGUGAGCUUUAAAGGGAGGUUUGGUUUUGUGGUAAGAGUAUCUUCCAAGCAUAUGCUUAAGCAUUAACUUGGUGAUGGCCCAUUCCUUUUCCACCUUUAGGUAUUUUUAUGGGAGCAUGGAUGUAAGUAGGACUUCUUGCAAUUUGCACUUAUCCCAUUUUUCUAUUCCAUUUUGCUUUCGACUACCUAUAUUGUUUUCCCUCCCAAGACACGUGUGCAACCAAAUGUGAUUGCUAAACAAACUUUGGAACAACCAUGGGAAGGGAUGAGAUCAUCUCUGGAUCUCUGCCUUCAGAGUAGGCAGAUCUGAUUUUUGGGUCUGUCUGCUCCUAAGGCAGAGAUUCGAAGAUGAUCUCAUUCCCCAUUGAAAGAGACUCAAAGGGUGUUGUAAGUGUAAAGGUGGCUUUUGCUUGAAAAGAUUAUUAGCAAUUCAGUUGUAUGUUUCCUUGUGUCUAUAAUCACGUCAUAAUGUAAAAUUGACUUUUAUUUAGAGAGACCCUUAGUCAUUUCUGGUUGUGCAUCUUUUGUGUCUACCAUAUGACACAAGAGGAUGUACAACCGAAUACAGAAAAAUUAUCUUUGCUUGGAUGACAUUGAAGUGAAAUAAGUGAGGGAAAAUCAUAGAUUGAAAAACUCUAAUCAUAUAAAAGUGCUCAUCACUUUGUGCUUAUUAUUGACAGUGUAUGUAUAUAGGUGAGUGUAAGCAGCACUCCAAAGAAGUAAAAAUGUAACUGUUGAGGUCUUAAGCUCGAUUUAUUGUAUUACAAAAAGAGAAAAUUCUCCCACUAUAUAUGUUGGAAAAAGUGGCUUAGAUUAGAGUCGCAUUAACAUCCUAUACGAGAGAUUUGUAAGGAGUCAUCAAUUAGUAAAUAAGGAUUAAGGAAUUAGAAUCGAACCCUUUAAUGUCGAAGGUGAACUCCAAAAAAAAAAAAAAAGAAACUAGAGCUCAUAGCAUCAUACUUUUACCAAGGCGUUUGCUGCUUGAUUACCUUCACAAAAAAUAUGAGCCUAAGAGUCAUAAUUAAUAAUGAUACUUAUUCAGAUUAAACUAAACCAGUCAGGGAUUUGAUUAGUUUUGGUUAUGUUUGUCCCUUGUAUAGUUGUACAUUACCAGGCAGAUAUAUAAUAGGUAUAUCAUUAUUAUGUUUGUCCCUUGUAUAGUUGUACAUUAUUAUGUUGCUGCUUCACAAAGCUUGUGAGGCAUAUCAUUUUGUAUUAAUUGAUACAAAAAAGGGUAUUAGGACCAACCAAUGAUGAAGUCAAUUAGAGUUUGAGUACUUUUUUAUAUGUACAAACAAAAUGACACCAUUUUCUCUCUGUAUACCAAUCAUAUUUCAUUUGAGAGGCACCAUGAUUUUGUGCAACAUACAUUUGGAUAUCCGCUAAAUAUAGCAAAUUAGUCGUGUUUGUCGUGUUCAUUUCGUACUUGUUAUCUUAACAGAUUAUGUUGUGUCAAACCCAUUAUCUUAAUAAGUUUUUAAUAAGUGACUUGAUAACAACGCGACUCGUUCGUAGGUUGACCUGAAACUUAUUAUAUUCGUGUCGUUUAAUGUUGGGUUAACGGGUAGUCCAAGAAAUUGUCAGGCCUAAUAUCCAUAUAAAUUACCACUACUUACUCCUUUAUCUGUCUUGCUUCUGAAAUGAGUUCUUCAAAAAGCUAAAUCCUUAAUUUUUAUUAAGUUUGAUGCAGAUUUGGAGAGAGAGAUUCGAACUUAAAUGUAAAGAACAAACACAAUACUUUGACCGACUAGCCUAACCUGUAUCAGCCUAAAACCCAAUUUUUACUUUCAAAUUGUCAUUGUAUCUUGAAGAUUGCUGACAAAAGCUAGCGGUGCUCAUGCCUUAAGGAAAAUAUUAAUCUUGAAGAUGUAAAAAAGCAUGAAUCUUGAAGAUU
rnacentral:lncRNA from 1 species